AAAAGCAAAAGCAGUCAAAGUUCUGGUGUAUUCUGGACACUAUGUUGGAAAACAUUUAGGCAAGAAGAGUGCAAGAAGCAGACAUAAAAACUGCAUUUAUUUCCAUAACUCCCCAUUUGAAUGGCAUUUUCUUUUUGCUUAGACAAUGCCUACGCCUAGCCACAGUAGCUCCCUCAUGCAGACCCCGCAAGCCAAGAGGCCAUGGAGGCAAAUGCAGGCAGCCAGCACACCUCGAACAGCCACCUUGACUGCGGGUGUGUCAGCAGAUUCCUCUUGUACAUAUGCUCAUAAUAAACUUCAGUAAACUUGAA
rnacentral:lncRNA from 1 species